UGCUCUUCAUGGACUAUGGCACUG
rnacentral:misc_RNA from 1 species